GGAUGAUGGUUUUCUCGCAGAAGUGAACGCUCAACUUCGUCAGGCCAAAAAAGAUGCUGAUAAGCCCGGAUUGCUGGCUUUGCUACAAAAAGUGCUACAACUUUAUGCAGCAACGUUUCUUGCAAAGACAAGCUAUGCCAAGAGAGAUGGAGUCGUAGACGAAGCUGAGGAACUGCUCGAGAAUAUAAUCUCAGGUGACAGCGAAGCUUGGGAUAGCAUGAUAAGGUCCGGAGUGGACUUGGGCGGUGGCCCAGUUAAGAGCGUAGAUCUUCGCAAAAUGGCUAAGAAACGCAUUGAGCGAAUUUUUCUUAGAACAGAAGGUGGCUCUUACAAGCAAAGAAUUCUCAUUGAGUACUUGAAAGAGAUUGAGAGAAGCGUGGAUAUGGUUGUAGCAGCCUUUUCUUCCUGAGAUGUUUAUAAACAUUUUUUUUCUUUAUUACAUAUAAACACUUUUUAUUCUUUUUA